UAGUGGUUGAGCCUAUGCGCUAGUGAAAGAGGUAGCUUUAGCAAGGCAUCCCAGGCAAGACGCUUAUCCGACAAGCCUGAUACCUGGGCUGGUGAGAAAGUGAGAUAUUCGUUGUAUAUUGGGAAUUGCUUUGCCCUGUGAGGGCUGGUUUCACGAAAAUUUGCCGUCUACAACCGUAGACGGUGACAGGGCCAGGUCGACUGGCAGAGUUCCAAUGGGCAGGUAGCCGUACACGAGACUACCGAUGGGAAGAUCAUUGCGGUUGCUCUCUUGCACAACUCCGAAUCCCCAUGCUGAUAUACGCCCGUAUUUAGCCCCGUCUUUGAAUUUCUCGGGAAUCGAGGGGGGUAGAGGGUGGACGUCCCACCAACCAAACAAAUGGCCGGACUUUGCGUAGCUUAUAUUGUUCGUUGUGAGAGAAAAUAUGUAUGUUUUUACACGCACCGAUGAUGGGAUAAGGGCGGGAGUGGCUCAGCAUCGGGGAGAGAAACGAUGUAUUGGUCAGUGAAGUCCUGUUUGCAAAGGACUUGAUUAGUUGGAGCAGACAUUAGUACGGAAAUACAGCUGGAGUCUGUAUUUGCGUGCUGGAGAAUGUAUGAUCCCGAUGCUAACGUUCAUUUACUCCAUGUAGCAUGUCUUUAUCAGGAGCACUUAUCUCCUUCACAGGGUGCCUAGUGGCCCGCGGCCUGGCUUUUGUCCAACAUGGCUUACUUUUUCAGAACUAUUUAAAAAAUGCGCUAAGGACA
rnacentral:sRNA from 1 species